rnacentral:rRNA from 1 species
UACGUAGGGUGCGAGCGUUAAUCGGAAUUACUGGGCGUAAAGCGCGCGCAGGCGGACCAUUAAGUUGGGCGUGAAAUCUCCCGGCCUAACUGGGAGGGGUCGCCCAAGACUGGUGGUCUUGAGGACAGCAGAGGUGGGUGGAAUUCCUGGUGUAGCGGUGAAAUGCGUAGAUAUCAGGAGGAACACCGGUGGUGUAGACGGCUUUCUGGACCGUAACUGACGCUGAGACACGAAAGCGUGGGUAGCAAACAGG